rnacentral:lncRNA from 1 species
GUUGACCUUGGGAAUGAAAAGAGAAAAAGCUUAUUAAUUUUGAUAGAAAGAAAUGUAGUACGGUGACAGGGAGUAGUCUUGUCACAUUUUGCAAUGAAGAGAGCUGCACCUAAAUUUUAGUGUGAAUGAAGAAUUCAUUAGGAGUUGGUGUGCAGGGAUAUUCAAGUCGUGGCAGAGCGAGGCACAGUCCAGCCACAUGCUUAGUUUUUUUUUAUCUUUGAAUUUUUAUUUUUUUUUUAUGAAAAAAGGUGCAGCGUGAAGAGGUAGGGGGCAACUAUCACUUCAAAUGCACUCCGUUUUUGCUUGCUUGAAUUUAGAGAAUGAGACAUUACUUUUUUUUGCUGGAUUAUGAUGGUGAUUAAUUUUAUUUUGGAAGAGGUGUACUUAGGUCAUGGUUAGCAAUAGAAAAAG